GCACUACUGCACUCCAGCCUCGGUGACACAGCUACACUCCGUCUCCCCUACUCGCCAAAAACAAAAACAAAAAAAAGAGUGCAGAGAACUGGAGGUGGCGGGAAAAGCGCUUGGAUUCUCCUUUGACAUGCUCUUCCCUGGCAAGAUGGAAUCCCUUGGAAAAUUUUAAGUGGAAAAGUGACACGAUUUAUGGCUGAGUGCAGCAGCUCACGCCUGUAAUUCCAGCACUUUGGGAAGCUGAGGCAGGCACUUUGGGAAGCUUUAGGUCAGGAGUUCAAGACCAGCCUCGCCAACAUGGCGAAACCCCCUCUCUACUAGAAAAUACAAAAAUUAGCUAGGCGUGGUGACGUGUCCUUGUAAUCCCAGCUACUCAGGAGACUGAGGUAGGAGAAUCGCUUCAACCCAGGAGGUGGAGAUUGCAGUGAGCCAAGAUCAUGCCACUGCACUCCAGCCUGAGCAAGAGAAAGACUUCGUCUCAAAGAAAAAAAAAGUGAUAUGAUUUAUGUUUUAAAAGGUUCAUCUGAAUUGCAGAAGCUGGAAGCAGAGAGCCCAGUUAGGAGCUACUACAACUAUCCAGGCAAGAAAGACAGUGGCUUGGAUGGGGAUGUGGUAUUGAAAGUGGAGACUAGCAGAGGUACUUGGAAAUGUACAUCUUAUAGCUACCAAGACUUGCUGCUGGUGUGAAUGUUCAGGUAAAAGAGAGAGAAAUCAAGAAUGGCUCUAGGCUGGGUGCAGUGACUCAUGCCUGUAAUCUCAGCACUUUGAGAACCGAGGCGGAUGGAUCACUUGAGCUCAAGAGUUCGAGACCAACCAGUCUGGGCAACACAGCAAGACUCUGUCUCUCCACCCCUCAAAAAAAAGAAAAAAGGAAAGGCAUGACUCUGAGGGAGAAUUGCUUGAACCCAGGAGGCGGAGGUUGCAGUGAGUUGAGAUCGUGCCAUUGCACUCCAGCCUGGGGGACAAGGGCAAGACUCCAUCUC
rnacentral:lncRNA from 10 species